GACAAGAAGGCUAGAAAGCUCAAUGCAUCUUCCUAUUACUCUGCAUAUCUUAUGUCUUCCAUCCAAAAAGAAUCAACUUAUCAGAUAAAUAACCACCUCAUGAACUAAGAUGAAUCAUGUUCCGGCUUUUGACCUCCUGCUGCUCUUGGCUAAAGACAACAGAAGAGACACGAAGGAAUGUGACCAUCCCUAUCAUUGGCUUGAACAACUCAGGCAAAACUGUUCUUGUGGAGGCAUUCCAAAAAUUACUUCCCAGUAAGACAGACCAUUGUAUGAAAUCGGAACUGACUACACUUUUGUUAGAUGAGUAUGAACUUUCCAUCUACGACCUGAAUGGAGAUCUGAAGGGCCGGGAAGCAUGGCCAAACUACUAUGCACAGGCCCAUGGGCUUGUUUUCGUCCUGGAUUCCAGUGACAUAAGACGCAUGCAGGAAGUGAAGAUCAUCUUAACACAUCUGCUGUCUGAUAAAAGAGUGGCAGGGAAACCCAUCUUACUCUUAGCAAACAAACAAGACAAGAAGAAAGCCCUCAUGCCUUGUGAUAUUAUUGACUAUCUACUUCUAAAGAAGCUAGUGAAAGAGAAUAAGUGCCCAUGCCGAGUGGAGCCAUGUUCAGCCAUCAGAAACCUUGAAAGAAGAAACCAUCAGCCCAUAGUUGAAGGACUGCGCUGGCUAUUAGCUGUCAUUAAUACCUGCCAACUACCACCUACCUCGAGCAUCUCAAUCUCCAAGAAUAACACAGGCUCUGGAGAAAGAUGCUCAUCACACAGCUUAUCCACCAGAACAGGAAUGUCAAAGGAGAAAAGACAGCAUCUAGAACAACGCCCAACAGAAGCUAAGCCUCUAAAGUCAAUCCUACAGAAAGAAGGUACAAGAUUACGGCCUAAAAAGAAUAUGUCAGUAACAUUUGCUUUAGAUGAACCCAUGAAAGAAGGUGAAUGUUCUAGGAGAACUAGAGUUUAGAACACUACGAAGUUUCACUACAAUUGAAGGAGUGACUUAUAGACUCCAGCUCCAUACGUUGAUGACAAUAUUUUUGAAGCCAUCAAACCAGUCCUAUACUCACUGAGAGGCUCAAGAAGAGUGAGAUGGCAUCCACUGAGAAUGAAGACCACCUUGGUAAAAAAGAACAGAGACUUUACAUCUUUGUACCCAGAUGCUGCUGACAAAGCUUGUGGACAAUAAGUCAUGGGUGAUCAACCAAAAUUGAGCCUUAGAAAUACAUAUUUUUUUCUUUAAGGUUCUUGGGCAGAAAAGGAUUGGCAAAAAUAAACAGAACUCCUUUGCUGAGAA